rnacentral:rRNA from 1 species
GACGAACGCUGGCGGCGUGCUUAACACAUGCAAGUCGAACGGAAAGGCCCUGCUUUUGUGGGGUGCUCGAGUGGCGAACGGGUGAGUAACACGUGAGUAACCUGCCCUUGACUUUGGGAUAACUUCAGGAAACUGGGGCUAAUACCGGAUAGGAGCUCUUGCUGCAUGGUGGGGGUUGGAAAGUUUCGGCGGUUGGGGAUGGACUCGCGGCUUAUCAGCUUGUUGGUGGGGUAGUGGCUUACCAAGGCUUUGACGGGUAGCCGGCCUGAGAGGGUGACCGGCCACAUUGGGACUGAGAUGCGGCCCAGACUCCUACGGGAGGCAGCAGUGGGGAAUAUUGCACAAUGGGCGGAAGCCUGAUGCAGCAACGCCGCGUGCGGGAUGACGGCCUUCGGGUUGUAAACCGCUUUCGCCUGUGACGAAGCGUGAGUGACGGUAAUGGGUAAAGAAGCACCGGCUAACUACGUG